rnacentral:rRNA from 1 species
UCGGGAAUUUUGGGCAAUGGGCGAAAGCCUGACCCAGCAACGCCGCGUGAAGGAUGAAAUCCCUCGGGAUGUAAACUUCGCAAGAACGGGAAGAAUAAGUGAGAGUUAAUAUCUCUUACGAUGACGGUACUGUUUGUAAGCUCCGGCUAACUCCGUGCCAGCAGCCGCGGUAAUACGGGGGGAGCAAGCGUUGUUCGGAUUUACUGGGCGUAAAGGGCGCGUAGGCGGCCACCGCAAGUCGACUGUGAAAUCUCCGGGCUUAACCCGGAAAGGUCAGCCGAUACUGCGGGGCUAGAGUGCAGAAGGGGCAACUGGAAUUCUCGGUGUAGCGGUGAAAUGCGUAGAUAUCGAGAGGAACACCUGCGGCGAAGGCGGGUUGCUGGGCUGACACUGACGCUGAGGCGCGAAAGCUAGGGGAGCGAACGGGAUUAGAUACCCCGGUAGUCCUAGCCUUAAACGAUGAAUGCUUGGUGUCUGGGGUUUUAUAGUCCCCGGGUGCCGUCGCU